rnacentral:rRNA from 1 species
AAGUGUCCUGUUAAGUCAGGCAACGAGCGAGACCCCCGCCCCUAGUUGCGACCCUGCGGGCGACCGCGGGGGCACACUAGGGGGACUGCCGCCGCUAAGGCGGAGGAAGGAGGGGGCCACGGCAGGUCAGCAUGCCCCUAAACCCCCGGGCUGCACGCGGGCUACAAUGGCGGGGACAGCGGGAUCCGACCCCGAAAGGGGGAGGCAAUCCCUGAAACCCCGCCCGUAGUUGGGAUCGGGGGCUGAAACU